AGCGGCGGACGGGUGAGUAACGCGUGGGUAACCUGCCUCAUACAGGGGGAUAACAGUUAGAAAUGACUGCUAAUACCGCAUAAGACCACAGUACUGCAUGGUACAGUGGUAAAAACUCCGGUGGUAUGAGAUGGACCCGCGUCUGAUUAGCUAGUUGGUAGGGUAACGGCCCACCAAGGCGACGAUCAGUAGCCGGCCUGAGAGGGUGAACGGCCACAUUGGGACUGAGACACGGCCCAAACUCCUACGGAAGGCAGCAG
rnacentral:rRNA from 1 species